GGUUACAUUAUUUGCCCUAAUAGUGAAUUUAACUAUUCAUAAUGAAGGAAGAAAAACAAUCAUUUGUCUUAUAAUACAUCACCGGAUUUGUAGUAAAGAUGUAGAAGAAAAAGUAGAAUUCUUGCAUCUAGGUCUCCUUCCUCUUCCAAUCAAUGUGUUAAACUUUCAAUUGCUUGAUAUUUUCCUCCUAUGAAUUUCUCUUUUGAUUCUCCAAUUAUGCUCUUUUGCUUCUCGGGCUUUUUUCAUGUCGAGCCAUGGGCGACCCGAGCCGACGAGCCCAACUACCGUCCCUACCUACAUAAGCUAAUGCUCAAUAAGAAAAAAUCUUGCAUGUCAUGAGCAUGAAUAACAAUAAUAUAUGACACCAUGCCAUUUACUUUAAACAUUAUGCUAAAGAUGCAUCAUAUUCAAGUAUUCGUCAAAUUCAACUCAAAAUAACUUCAUUUGAAAUCUUUUAUUAAGCCUUUGACCCACCUACUAUGCACCGGAUAGAGUUCUGCACAAUAUCAAUAUUAAUAUCAAUAAUCAAAUAACUAAUAUGAAAUCGACACUAGGGAGUGGACCACCCUCUUAAGACCACUAGAGGUCCAUCCCCUAACCGUCCCUAUGAUCACCCAAAAGGUAUCCCACUCGACAACACCAAUAAUCAUAACACCACAAGGAUACAGUCGAGUGGUCCCCUAUUUACCUUUGCAAUCACCUGCGAUGGAAGAAUAUAUUAUACCAGCAUGCCU
rnacentral:lncRNA from 1 species